rnacentral:rRNA from 1 species
AUUGAACGCUGGCGGCAUGCUUUACACAUGCAAGUCGAACGGUAACAGGCCGCAAGGUGCUGACGAGUGGCGAACGGGUGAGUAAUGCAUCGGAACGUGCCCAGUCGUGGGGGAUAACGCAGCGAAAGCUGCGCUAAUACCGCAUACGAUCUCUGGAUGAAAGCGGGGGACCGAAAGGCCUCGCGCGAUUGGAGCGGCCGAUGUCAGAUUAGGCAGUUGGUGGGGUAAAGGCUCACCAAGCCAACGAUCUGUAGCUGGUCUGAGAGGACGACCAGCCACACUGGGACUGAGACACGGCCCAGACGCCUACGGGAGGCAGCAGUGGGGAAUUGUGGACAAUGGGCGCAAGCCUGAUCCAGCAAUGCCGCGUGCAGGAAGAAGGCCUUCGGGUUGUAAACUGCUUUUGUACGGAACGAAACGGUCCUGGUUAAUACCUGGGGCUAAUGACGGUACCGUAAGAAUAAGCACCGGCUAACUACGUGCCAGCAGCCGCCGUAAAAC